rnacentral:lncRNA from 1 species
UCCGUCACCUGCAAAUCUCAAACAAAACCCCACAUCCAGUCGAUUUUAAUUUUUCUUUAUUUUUCAGAUCUGAUUAUCCCUUCAUUUUUUUUUCGGUGCGUUUUCCUCUGCUGGUGACAGAUCCAGCUUCUGUGGCCGCUGUUGGGCAGUUCUGGCGGCGGGGAUGCUGCUGCGGUGGAGAUGUUUCCUCGGUGGUGAGCAGAUCGGGUCCGUGGGGGAGGAGUUGUUGCGGUUGGCGGACGGCGUUGAUGGUCCGGAGGAGGAGGAGACACUGCUGAGAAGGGGAGGUUCUGUUGCUGGUCGCUGCGUUCGGGCCGGUUGAAGGCAGUGGAGUGGGCGGUCCGUUCACGGUGGCUGAGAGGGAGGAUCGGCGCUGCUGGCUCUGUGGGAGGAGACGCCUUGCGAUGGAAAUGGGAGAGUGAGGAGGGCUCUUCUGUGGGCUGUGACGGUUUGGGAUAGAACCAGAGGAAGUGGGGGAAACGGCUGAAAGGGGAAGAUGAGAAGAAAAAAUAAUAUGGCCAGAGGUGACGGAGGAGCUGGGGUGUUGGCUGUGCUGGGUUAUUGUUGCUUGUGGUCUGAUGAAGAGAGUGAGGGGGAGCUGGUUCGGUGGCUGCGAUGGGUGAAGUGGAGGUCUGGUGGAGGUGGGGUCUUCGGGAGAGAUGACGGGGAGAUUGAAAAAAAAAGACUGUGGCCGGUUGAGGGAGAAGAAACAAAAAUUCAAAAAAGUCAGGGGCUGGCUUGGGUGUGUUGGAAAAAUGAGGGAACGGCGCUGGCAAAGGGGGGACGUAUGGCUGGCUUCAGAAAAAUGCAAGGUUGGGGGCUGUCUUGGCUUCUGGUUUUGGGAGAAGAAAAGGAGAAAGGAGAAAAUUCAACAGGGGCUGGGGAUCGUGGGUCUCUGCCCCCUGCUCUUGGGACCCGUCGAAAAAAUGGUUCCAACGUCUUCCCCCCCCUCUUAGCAAAGCUGGGGAUGAGAAGAAAUAGAGGCUUUUUUUCAUUAUGAGGAGGGCCACCAUGUCGGCGGGAAACAAGGAAAAGAAGACCAUGGGUGGGGCUGAGCUGCUAAUUUUUAGCCGAAAGAGAGGGAUUAAAUAAUGGUCUUGGGCCAGGGGCAACGGCUAGUUUCGGGUGAAGAGAAAAAAAAUUCUUAGGUUGCCCCUUCUUCCAAAAUUCAAAAUUCCAUAUAUAUAGGCAAAAAUAUUGUUUCGGCCUCAAAAUUGGUCCCUUAAUUUUCUUUUUUUGUAAAAUUUGAUUUUUCUUGUUUUUUUGUAUUUUUUUGAAAACGAGCAAUAUCAACGUCGACUCAAAUUCGGAAAAUCAAUUAUUUUAAAAAUGACGCGUGAAAAGUCGAACGCGUUCGAAAGACCCUUAAAAAUUUUAAAAAAAUUUUAAACGACGUUGAAAAUGCUAAAAUGACGAAAAUAUAUUAAAAAACAUAUUUUUUUGGAUUUUCUUUGUUUUUCUCUAUUUUUGGAUUUUUUGAAAAUAUAUCAAAAACAUGGGUCAAAAAUUGAGUAGCAACAGAUGCCCCCUCUUUACAAUGCUUACGAAGCAAAAAUCCUCGAUGUUUUGCAUAGUAAGCUUUGUAAAGAAAAACUUAUCUUUCUAUUUGCUCAAUAUCCACUUCAUCAGCAAAUCUUCCUUUUUUUUUUUCUUUUUUUUUUAUUAUCCUGAGAUCCCAUCUGGCGACCUCCUUUAAACAAAACCAAAGAAUGUGUGUAACUCGGUCAACCUGAAAUCCCAUAUGGAGAUUCCCUUUAACCAAAGCUACAUGAGAUCCCAUCUGGCGACCUCAUUCAACUGGGACAAAAGAAUGUGUAAAAAGCGGUCUCAUUAUAAUGGGUGACCUACCCAAAUGGAAAGGAGGAAGAGUGGUCUCAUUCUUUGGGUGACCUACCCAGGGGGAAGAAUGGCCUCAUUCUUAUGGGUGACCUACCCAGGUAAAAAAAAAGAUGGAGAAUGGUCUCAUUCUAAUGGGUGACCUACCCAGAAAAAAAUGGUGGUCUCAUUGUGAUGGGUGACCUACCCAAGUGGAAAGGGGAAAGAGUGGUCUCAUUCUUUGGGUGACCUACCCAGGGGAAGGAAUGGCCUCAUUCUUAUGGGUGACCUACCCAGGUAAAAAAAAAUGGAGAAUGGUCUCAUUCUUUGGGUGACCUACCCAGAAAAGAUGAUGGUCUCAUUGUGAUGGGUGACCUACCCAAGUGGAAAAAGGAAGAGUGGUCUCAUUCUUUGGGUGACCUACCCAAGGGGAGGAAUGGCCUCAUUGUUAUGGGUGACCUACCCAGGUAAAAAAAUGGAGAAUGGUCUCAUUCUAAUGGGUGACCUACCCAGAAAAGAUGGUGGUCUCAUUGUGAUGGGUGACCUACCCAAGAUGGAAAAAAAUGUGAAGUGUGGUCUCAUUGUAAUGGGUGACCUACCCAGAUAGAAAGAAUGUGAAGUGCGGUCUCAUUGUAAUGGGUGACCUACCCAGAGAUGGAAAAAAUAUGAAGUGUGGUCUCAUUGUAAUGGGUGACCUACCCAGAUGGAAAAAUAUGAUGAAGUGGUCUCGUUGUGAUGGGCGACCUACCCAGAUAGAAAGAAAUGUGAAGUGCGGUCUCAUUGUAAUGGGUGACCUACCCAGAUGGAAAAAAUAUGAAGUGUGGUCUCAUUGUAAUGGGUGACCUACCCAGAUGGAAAAAAUAUGAUGAAGUGGUCUCGUUGUGAUGGGCGACCUACCCAGAUGGAAAAAAUAUGAUGAAGUGGUCUCGUUGUGAUGGGCGACCUACCCAGAUAGAAAGAAUGUGAAGUGUGGUCUCAUUGUAAUGGGUGACCUACCCAGAUGGAAAAAAUAUGAUAUGACAAGUGUGAAAAAUAGGACUUACCUGGAGAAGUCCUGAGGGGAUGACAGAAGAAGGGCUGGAAAACUUGGUGCUUCCUGAUAAUUCCCGAUCAUAGGGUUUGAAAACUCGGUGUUUCCUGACUGCAAGGGUUGAAAACUCGAGGCUUCCCGAUUGCAAGGUUGAUCCUUUCAUUUCUUUGGGAUUUUCCUAAUGGUAGGGUUCAUCCCAUCGUCCUUUUAUUCCAUGAUCAAAACCGAUUCUUUAUUAUCAUCACCACCAUGCUUCUUUCUUUUUCCACCAUCUUGCUGGACCUCAUUAAGGAUUUUCCUGUAACAAUUCAAAAAUAUGUGCAAAUGGUUGUUAGAUGAUAUGCAUGCAUCCUUACCUGAUUCGAAAUAUAGGUCCCCCCCUCCUUGAUGCUCCAUCGUCAUAGGGUGCCCUUGUUUGUAUCCCAAAACUUUCUUUGUUCUUCCGAUGCAUUGGCUCAUUCAUGUGCUAUCCAUUAUUCAGCUGUAAAUGCAGUGCCCAUCCCGGGCUGUCUUCGACCAUUACUGCUCGCAUCGCUCAUCAAGCUUGACAAUGCCCCCAAGUGUGGUGAUGUUUGAUUCAUCAUGAAGAAUUUUCUCUCUUGGAUUCUUCUGAGAAUUAUCCUUUGAUUGAUUGUAUGCAUCAUGCCAAUAACCAUCAAGAUUGUUAAUCAGUCAUGAACUUGCCUUCGGUUGAAACACCAUUCAAGUAUGUAUGGUCACCAGCCUUCAUGGAACUGCCAAGUCAUCUAGACAUGGAACUCAUGCUUUGCAGUAAACGGCUCAUCAUUGUAAGCGCGAUGUAUUUCUUUAUGGAUUCCUCUUAGCUUGUCAAAUCAGAUCGUGAAAAUAACUGCUUUGGCAUCAUCAAUGAUGUUCAUGUUAUCACCCAUAUUCAUGCGGUGAAGUGUGCAUUUGAGCUUCAAAACAAAUGGUCCCACAGUCAGUCUUGGUGGGUGCAUCCUUCCAGCAUUCAUGCACAUGCAACUAUGUGAUAACAUCGUUCAAAAAUCAUAACCAUGUUGAAGAUGAUAAACCAAGAUGAAGAUAUGAAAAUAUCCUUCUAGUGCAGCGUUGCUCAUCAAUUGCUGCUGAAGUGCACUAGAUCAUGGAUUGUCUUUGAACAACAUUGCCCCUAAUCGAUCUGAGCAUGCUCAUUCUUCUGUCUAUAAACAAAUGGCUUUUGUGAUUGCCAAGAAUGACUUUGAUGAACUUUGACGACUCAUCAUCUGAUUCUUUCUUUGCCCCCAGCUGAUCAGAAUGUUGUUUGUUUUUCUUCUAAGGGUCCACUGUAUUGCCCCCAGGUGGUCAACGUUUCAAGGAGUGUCGAGAAAUGUUGAUGUCAUUUUUGUCAAGGAUUUUGCAAACUCAAUGAUGUUCUUGUUUGAAAAUCUUUCUUGUUCUGGAAUCAAAUCUCACAUUUCAACGAUCAUGUCUAUUCAAGUCUAAUUGUUGAAAUGAAAUCAGAGAGAUGUCUGUUUUUGAAAUUAUUAUUUUUUCUUUUGAAAUUCAAACUUCUUUGGUCAAAGACCCAACACACUAUUCAAUGCAGUCCUUUGAUUGUCUUGUAUUUUGAAAACAGAAAUGACCCGUUGUAAGAUUUAAAAUGACUUUUUCAUGGUUCUUUGUGUCCACUUUAAACUCUGAUUUUGGGUAUAUCUUUUGAUGGUCUGUGAUGAGGUGACAUUUUUAUGAAUUUCAAAAACAAGAUGCUCAGGCUUUAUCAAGAAAGGUUGUUUCUUUUCUUAGCAUUUAUUUUAUCAGCAUGCAUAAUAACCAGUAGCUUAAUUCAUGAAGUCACGACCCUUAUGGAAAAACUCUUCAAGUUUUGAGAGCGCCAUUUAUCGAUUCAAAUUGCUUGCUUGAUUAAAAAGGGCUUUUAAAAGCACGUAAUGCAGGCUAUGGUUCAUGGCUAUGAAAGAAAAGAAUUUCAAAGGCUCAAAAGGUGUUUGAGGGUUUCAACGACUUAGGAUCAACAUUAACUAUUCAUCGAUUCUCUUUCUCUUGUUGUCAUUGUAGAGAAAGUGACAUAUAACCUUGUUAAUCUUCAAAUAUCAGAAUUCUCUUAACAUAGGUCAUAAUCCAACUUUUCUUUGAUGAAUAACUAAUCUAAUUUUGAAGACAUUAGAGGCUUUAUCCUAGACACACCAAAAGAUAUGAAGCAUCGAUUUUUCUAGUGUUGACUUUUGGCAUUUAUUGUCUUUUCUCAAUUGAAAGUUGUCUUGCCUCUCUUAGAAUUGGUAGGCAUUUUCUUUCAUUUCCUCAAAGUUUUUCUUGGAUGGCCCUCAAUCUAUGGAUUUUCUUCUUCUAGCCCUUUCUCAAACAUUGGACUUUUGUUCUAAGCUUUCUUUGAUCCAUUGAUUUUAUCCGUGUCUCCAAAAUAUUUCUCAUUUGCCCCCAGUGUGGGGUGUGAUCCUAGUCAGGGUUUUUUGAAAAAAUAUUUUCCAGCUCAAAAUGGGACUACAAGGGAGAUAAUUUUUAGAAAGUGACAGGAUAUCAAAGAUGGCCUUUUCUCAUUUCAAGCAAGGUCGGUUAGAACCGAUAAAUUUUGACCUCAUCUAGUGUAAUGAUUUGGACUUGUAAGAGUCAUGAUUCACGAGUCCAUAGCUACCGAAACCACUACAUGUCAUUAUGCAUACUGUUAAAACUUAGCUAUAUGAUGUGUGGUUCAAUUUGGUGAGCUCAAAAUUUGUUUGGUCACCUCAUGUCAUUUCAACAAGAAUCGAGUCAUUUCUGCAAUCAAAACACUUUUAAUCUUCAGGAUUGAUUAACCUUUAUCAUGUUGGAGUUUGAUCAAAAUAUUUUGUCAAAAAAAAAAGUAACUCUUUGAUUUCAAAACAACAAAAGAGACAAAAGACAUGUUUCGUUAAGGAUGAGAUGUGAUCCCAAAACAAAAUGCAAAAUGGCAAAAAUCCAUAACAAAAAUGCUUGACAGUUUAACUCCUUGGAUCAGCUUCUGGCAAUAUCUAUGUUUUUGCCAAGCAAUUCCGAUCACUUGUCAUUCUGAAAAUGAUUGAUGACAUCAUCUUUCGCAAAUUGAGCUCGACUCUUGAAACUCUUGCAUCUGUUUAACUAAAAUGGCCGAGGACCCCACCAUGACAACACAUCUGUUGUCUGAUUGAACCACCUAGAAAUUGGUGGUUGCAUGGGAUUUGUCGGAGUCAAGCAAAAUUCUGGAAUCUAGCAGAUGCUGGUCGACAAACUUAAGUGGCAAAGGAAUGUCAAUCUUGGAAAAGACAUUUGAGCAAUUGACGCUAUCGUGAGAUCCGGCUAGACCACAUAAUUAAGGGUUCACACCGUCGAAGUCAUCUCCUGAUUCACCUCUCAUCAUUGCUCUAGAAUCCAUGGCAGAUCCUUCAAUCUUUUCUCUCUUCAUAGCUUGUUCAAUUCUUCGUCAAAUCCUCACAACAUCAUUUCAAUCUUCCAAUGUUGUUGUGGUUGGUUGAGGAUUGUUAGAAAACUUUCCAACAGCUUGGUAAUCUUGGCAGCGCCAGAAACUUGUAGUAUCGCCACUACCGACGUGUGGAAUCACACAUUGUCUCUUUGGGAGAAUGAUGAAUGAAUCUCCUUUUCUUCGAUUUCUGAAGUGCAGCAAACAAACACCUAUAGAGGAAGUCCUGCUCUGUUGAAGUUUCAGUAUUCUUCAUGUUUUUUAGUCUAGGCAUGUCUCUUCUCUCUACUUUUGAGUUUUAAUACUGACACUUGUUGGAGGAAAAUCAUAGAUGAUCUGAAACUACUGUAUUCCUUCUUGGAUUUCCCACUUGCGGAUCCACAAACAGAUUCCUGCCAGAGAGCUCUGCUACGUUGAAGUUUGAUGUCUGCUCAUAUUUUUCAGACCAGGUCUGACUCUUCAACCUACUAAAAGGUCUUCGUGCUGAAGCUGAUGAGAGAAAUAUUUGUAGCAUAUGCAACUUAUAAAUCCCCUCUUGCAUUCUCAAUUUGCAGCCAUAAAUGGAUUUUUGUAGAAGAGCUCUGCCACAUUGAAGUUUGACAACUGCUAAUAUUUUCAGACCAGGUCUGACUCUCUGCUACUACAAUGUUUUGCUUGCCACUGGUGGGAAAAAUUUCAAAGCAUAUGAAAUUAAUACAUCCCCUUUUGCAUUUCCAUUGGCAGAUCCACAAAUAAAUCUCUACAGAGAGAGCUCUACCACGUUGAAGUUCAGUGUCUGAUCAUGGUUUUUCAGACCAACAUCUUGUGCUGCUGAACUGGAAUUGAGCUCAUAAUUGGGGUUCAAAGCAGACUAAUGCACCAUGUAAAGGAGAGUAGUUGUUUGGUUCCAUUAGAUGAUGUGGAGGCGAUGAACAUUAACAGUGCAACUGGACAAGAACAGAGUUGUCAUUAGUUGAUGACUGAAGGCAUUGUUGUUGUUGUUCAUGACUGAAAAGGAGAGGCAGCUUCAAUUGGACGUGGACAAGCAGUGUUCCCACAGAAGACUGUGCAGACAUUCUCUUUCCAUUUGAUGCUCAACACUUGUUCGAGCAGAUCUGAGUCCAGCUACUUCACCUUUGAUGCUCUCAACUCAAACUGAUAAUGAGCCUCUAUCUGACAUCUUUCUUCACUUCCAUCAUUUCUUCAAUCACUUGCAGCACAGCUUGUGCGGGGGAACCUACUUUUCAACCCGGUACAUGUAUGUAAUCUAUAUGACGAACUCACCCUUCGAGGGGUGACAAUAUGGUCGUAACUCUUGUAUGAUGGACAAGAAUCGUGAUUUUUGCCCAAACUCUACAAUGAAAAUUUUCGGAGUGACGGCCAUGUGUCACCCACAAGUCUUGAGUUCAAGAUGCUUCAAGAAGGGUUUGCUCGAUGCAAAAACAAUAGCACAUACAUCCUAAAGACAGGUCUAUUCAUUUUACGUGAGACAGGGUAGGUUUGCUACUUGGUCUCUAAAAGGGUCUCUUGUUGUCCCAGUGAUCGCCUUCGUAAAGGCAAUAUAGGGGCCCAGUAGGUAAUUGGUUGGCACGUGUCCAACUAUUACCAGUCUAAGCACUCAACAAAGAGUUGGGGUUUACACAAACUUAAACCUUGACUCAAGUCGUAAGGUAAGCUGCUAGUCCCCCACCUAACCUAAAGCUGGUGUGUGCUUUCAAAAAUUAAAACUUGUGAUGCAUGAGAGAAAUAUAUACAAUGCAUGAAUAAAACAAAAAUAAAUAAAACAAAACAAAAAAAAAAAAAAAUGAAACACAUCAAAACACAAAGCUUAGUCCGAUAAAGUUGAAAACAAUACCUGUCCCCAGUGGAGUCGCCAUCCUGUCGCACCCCAAAAAAAAAUCCUCCAGGCGCGCGGCAUCGGCUGGCGAUUUUUAUCGUUGUUGCGUUAGCUUUGAAUUCGUUCGUGGGAGUCGCCACCUAGUAAUUCAUUGAGGGCUACUAGGAAACCUGAUGUACUGGUCUUGUCAGAGAUCGCGGGUAAGGGACUGGUUGUGGUUAGGGAAGGUAUUAGCACCCCUAACACACCCUACCUGAGGUAAGCUGCUUUGUGUUCUGAUGUGAUUUGAAAAUUUAAAAUAUUAAUUAAAUUCUAAGGCUUGAAUAAAUCAGUUAUUAAAUCCCCGAAUAUAUGUAGAAACUUGUUCUUACAUUUUCGUGGAAAAUACAACUUGAUUUUAUUUGUCCUUGAGAUAUUUAACCAUAUUUAAGAAAAUUUAAAAUAUUAAUUAAAUUCUAAGGCUUGAAUAAAUCAGUUAUUAAAUCCCCGAAUAUAUGUAAAAAACUUGUUCUUACAUUUUCGUGGAAAAUACAACUUGAUUUUAUUUGUCCUUAGAUAUUUAACCAUAUUUAAAUUAACAAUUAAUUCUUUUUUUUUUUUUUUUAUUUAUUAUUCAAUACAUAAAUAAAAAAAAUACAAACACAACACACUUUCACUAUUUUUUGUUUCUUUUUCUUUUCUUUUCUUUUUCUUUUACAUCACAAUACAAAUACAAAUACAAAUACAAAUACAAAUACAACUUCAAAAUAAAUAAAUAAAAAUUACAUUAAUUAAUUUAAAAGUUACAAAAACAGUCCCUAAAAUUCUAAAAAUUUCAAGGAGGGACUUCUGCAGCGGGAACAGUGUUCGUCAUGGUUUCUGGGCUCGGUAACAGUGCGGCGCGUGGAGUCACGCACCACCGCCACUGGCGGCGCGUGGGUCCACGCGCCGCCGUGAAAACAAACCGAAAAUAGGGGGGUCUGUAAUGGCUUAUUCCUCUCUUCAAUCCCUGCUGUCCGUCACCUGCAAAUCUCAAACAAAAACCCCACAUCCAGUCGAUUUUAAUUUUUUCUUUAUUUUUCAGAUCUGAUUAUCCCUUCAUUUUUUUUUUCGGUGCGUUUUCCUCUGCUGGUGACAGAUCCAGCUUCUGUGGCCGCUGUUGGGCAGUUCUGGCGGCGGGGAUGCUGCUGCGGUGGAGAUGUUUCCUCGGUGGUGAGCAGAUCGGGUCCGUGGGGAGGAGUUGUGCGGUUGGCGGACGGCGUUGAUGGUCCGGAGGAGGAGGAGACACUGCUGAGAAGGGGAGGUUCUGUUGCUGGUCGCUGCGUUCGGGCCGGUUGAAGGCAGUGGAGUGGGCGGUCCGUUCACGGUGGCUGAGAGGGAGGAUCGGCGCUGCUGG